AUUGAACGCUGGCGGCAGGCCUAACACAUGCAAGUCGAGCGGCAGCGGGAAAGUAGCUUGCUACUUUUGCCGGCGAGCGGCGGACGGGUGAGUAAUGCCUGGGAAAUUGCCCAGUCGAGGGGGAUAACAGUUGGAAACGACUGCUAAUACCGCAUACGCCCUACGGGGGAAAGCAGGGGACCUUCGGGCCUUGCGCGAUUGGAUAUGCCCAGGUGGGAUUAGCUAGUUGGUGAGGUAAUGGCUCACCAAGGCGACGAUCCCUAGCUGGUCUGAGAGGAUGAUCAGCCACCCUGGAACUGAGACACGGUCCGGACUCCUACGGGAGGCAGCAGUGGGGAAUAUUGCACAAUGGGGGAAACCCUGAUGCAGCCAUGCCGCGUGUGUGAAGAAGGCCUUCGGGUUGUAAACCUCUGUCAGAAGGGAAGAAGUGCAUGGGUAGUAACUGACCCAUGUUUGACGGUACCUUCAGAGGAAGCACCGGCUAACUCCGUGCCAGCCGCCGCCGUAA
rnacentral:rRNA from 1 species